rnacentral:rRNA from 1 species
CCUGGCUCAGGACGAACGCUGGCGGCGCGCCUAACACAUGCAAGUCGAACGAGAGAUGAGGAGCUUGCUCUUCAAAUCGAGUGGCGAACGGGUGAGUAACGCGUGAGGAACCUGCCUCAAAGAGGGGGACAACAGUUGGAAACGACUGCUAAUACCGCAUAAGCCCACGGCUCGGCAUCGAGCAGAGGGAAAAGGAGCAAUCCGCUUUGAGAUGGCCUCGCGUCCGAUUAGCUGGUUGGUGAGGUAACGGCCCACCAAGGCGACGAUCGGUAGCCGGACUGAGAGGUUGAACGGCCACAUUGGGACUGAGACACGGCCCAGACUCCUACGGGAGGCAGCAGUGGGGAAUAUUGCACAAUGGGGGAAACCCUGAUGCAGCGACGCCGCGUGGAGGAAGAAGGUCUUCGGAUUGUAAACUCCUGUUGUUGAGGAAGAUAAUGACGGUACUCAACAAGGAAGUGACGGCUAACUACGUGCCAGCAGCCGCGGUAAAACGUAGGUCACAAGCGUUGUCCGGAAUUACUGGGUGUAAAGGGAGCGCAGGCGGGAGAACAAGUUGGAAGUGAAAUCCAUGGGCUCAACCCAUGAACUGCUUCAAAACUGUUUUUCUGAGUAGUGCAGAGGUAGGCGGAAUUCCCGGUGUAGCGGUGGAAUGCGUAGAUAUCGGGAGGAACACCAGUGGCGAAGGCGGCUACUGGGCACCAACUGACGCUGAGGCUCGAAAGUGUGGGUAGCAAACAGGAUUAGAUACCCUGGUAGUCCACACCGUAAACGAUGAUUACUAGGUGUUGGAGGAUUGACCCCUUCAGUGCCGCAGUUAACACAAUAAGUAAUCCACCUGGGGAGUACGACCGCAAGGUUGAAACUCAAAGGAAUUGACGGGGGCCCGCACAAGCAGUGGAGUAUGUGGUUUAAUUCGACGCAACGCGAAGAACCUUACCAAGUCUUGACAUCCCUUGACGAACAUAGAAAUAUGUUUUCUCUUCGGAGCAAGGAGACAGGUGGUGCAUGGUUGUCGUCAGCUCGUGUCGUGAGAUGUUGGGUUAAGUCCCGCAACGAGCGCAACCCUUAUGGUCAGUUACUACGCAAGAGGACUCUGGCCAGACUGCCGUUGACAAAACGGAGGAAGGUGGGGAUGACGUCAAAUCAUCAUGCCCUUUAUGACUUGGGCUACACACGUACUACAAUGGCGUUAAACAAAGAGAAGCAAGACCGCGAGGUGGAGCAAAACUCAGAAACAACGUCCCAGUUCGGACUGCAGGCUGCAACUCGCCUGCACGAAGUCGGAAUUGCUAGUAAUCGUGGAUCAGCAUGCCACGGUGAAUACGUUCCCGGGCCUUGUACACACCGCCC